rnacentral:rRNA from 1 species
GGGUUGUGAGGUUAAGCGACUAAGCGUACACGGUGGAUGCCCUGGCAGUCAGAGGCGAUGAAGGACGUGCUAAUCUGCGAUAAGCGUCGGUAAGGUGAUAUGAACCGUUAUAACCGGCGAUUUCCGAAUGGGGAAACCCAGUGUGAUUCGUCACACUAUCAUUAACUGAAUCCAUAGGUUAAUGAGGCGAACCGGGGGAACUGAAACAUCUAAGUACCCCGAGGAAAAGAAAUCAACCGAGAUUCCCCCAGUAGCGGCGAGCGAACGGGGAGCAGCCCAGAGCCUGAAUCAGUGUGUGUGUUAGUGGAAGCGUCUGGAAAGGCGCGCGAUACAGGGUGACAGCCCCGUACACAAAAAUGCACAUGCUGUGAGCUCGAUGAGUAGGGCGGGACACGUGGUAUCCUGUCUGAAUAUGGGGGGACCAUCCUCCAAGGCUAAAUACUCCUGACUGACCGAUAGUGAACCAGUACCGUGAGGGAAAGGCGAAAAGAACCCCGGCGAGGGGAGUGAAAAAGAACCUGAAACCGUGUACGUACAAGCAGUGGGAGCACGCUUAGGCGUGUGACUGCGUACCUUUUGUAUAAUGGGUCAGCGACUUAUAUUCUGUAGCAAGGUUAACCGAAUAGGGGAGCCGAAGGGAAACCGAGUCUUAACUGGGCGUUAAGUUGCAGGGUAUAGACCCGAAACCCGGUGAUCUAGCCAUGGGCAGGUUGAAGGUUGGGUAACACUAACUGGAGGACCGAACCGACUAAUGUUGAAAAAUUAGCGGAUGACUUGUGGCUGGGGGUGAAAGGCCAAUCAAACCGGGAGAUAGCUGGUUCUCCCCGAAAGCUAUUUAGGUAGCGCCUCGUGAAUUCAUCUCCGGGGGUAGAGCACUGUUUCGGCAAGGGGGUCAUCCCGACUUACCAACCCGAUGCAAACUGCGAAUACCGGAGAAUGUUAUCACGGGAGACACACGGCGGGUGCUAACGUCCGUCGUGAAGAGGGAAACAACCCAGACCGCCAGCUAAGGUCCCAAAGUCAUGGUUAAGUGGGAAACGAUGUGGGAAGGCCCAGACAGCCAGGAUGUUGGCUUAGAAGCAGCCAUCAUUUAAAGAAAGCGUAAUAGCUCACUGGUCGAGUCGGCCUGCGCGGAAGAUGUAACGGGGCUAAACCAUGCACCGAAGCUGCGGCAGCGACGCUUAUGCGUUGUUGGGUAGGGGAGCGUUCUGUAAGCCUGCGAAGGUGUGCUGUGAGGUAUGCUGGAGGUAUCAGAAGUGCGAAUGCUGACAUAAGUAACGAUAAAGCGGGUGAAAAGCCCGCUCGCCGGAAGACCAAGGGUUCCUGUCCAACGUUAAUCGGGGCAGGGUGAGUCGACCCCUAAGGCGAGGCCGAAAGGCGUAGUCGAUGGGAAACAGGUUAAUAUUCCUGUACUUGGUGUUACUGCGAAGGGGGGACGGAGAAGGCUAUGUUGGCCGGGCGACGGUUGUCCCGGUUUAAGCGUGUAGGCUGGUUUUCCAGGCAAAUCCGGAAAAUCAAGGCUGAGGCGUGAUGACGAGGCACUACGGUGCUGAAGCAACAAAUGCCCUGCUUCCAGGAAAAGCCUCUAAGCAUCAGGUAACAUCAAAUCGUACCCCAAACCGACACAGGUGGUCAGGUAGAGAAUACCAAGGCGCUUGAGAGAACUCGGGUGAAGGAACUAGGCAAAAUGGUGCCGUAACUUCGGGAGAAGGCACGCUGAUAUGUAGGUGAAGUCCCUCGCGGAUGGAGCUGAAAUCAGUCGAAGAUACCAGCUGGCUGCAACUGUUUAUUAAAAACACAGCACUGUGCAAACACGAAAGUGGACGUAUACGGUGUGACGCCUGCCCGGUGCCGGAAGGUUAAUUGAUGGGGUCAGCGCAAGCGAAGCUCUUGAUCGAAGCCCCGGUAAACGGCGGCCGUAACUAUAACGGUCCUAAGGUAGCGAAAUUCCUUGUCGGGUAAGUUCCGACCUGCACGAAUGGCGUAAUGAUGGCCAGGCUGUCUCCACCCGAGACUCAGUGAAAUUGAACUCGCUGUGAAGAUGCAGUGUACCCGCGGCAAGACGGAAAGACCCCGUGAACCUUUACUAUAGCUUGACACUGAACAUUGAGCCUUGAUGUGUAGGAUAGGUGGGAGGCUUUGAAGUGUGGACGCCAGUCUGCAUGGAGCCGACCUUGAAAUACCACCCUUUAAUGUUUGAUGUUCUAACGUGGACCCGUAAUCCGGGUUGCGGACAGUGUCUGGUGGGUAGUUUGACUGGGGCGGUCUCCUCCUAAAGAGUAACGGAGGAGCACGAAGGUUGGCUAAUCCUGGUCGGACAUCAGGAGGUUAGUGCAAUGGCAUAAGCCAGCUUGACUGCGAGCGUGACGGCGCGAGCAGGUGCGAAAGCAGGUCAUAGUGAUCCGGUGGUUCUGAAUGGAAGGGCCAUCGCUCAACGGAUAAAAGGUACUCCGGGGAUAACAGGCUGAUACCGCCCAAGAGUUCAUAUCGACGGCGGUGUUUGGCACCUCGAUGUCGGCUCAUCACAUCCUGGGGCUGAAGUAGGUCCCAAGGGUAUGGCUGUUCGCCAUUUAAAGUGGUACGCGAGCUGGGUUUAGAACGUCGUGAGACAGUUCGGUCCCUAUCUGCCGUGGGCGCUGGAGAAUUGAGGGGGGCUGCUCCUAGUACGAGAGGACCGGAGUGGACGCAUCACUGGUGUUCGGGUUGUCAUGCCAAUGGCACUGCCCGGUAGCUAAAUGCGGAAGAGAUAAGUGCUGAAAGCAUCUAAGCACGAAACUUGCCCCGAGAUGAGUUCUCCCUGACUCCUUGAGAGUCCUGAAGGAACGUUGAAGACGACGACGUUGAUAGGCCGGGUGUGUAAGCGCAGCGAUGCGUUGAGCUAACCGGUACUAAUGAACCGUGAGGCUUAACCUUACAACGCCGAAG